AUGCUUAUUAUGGAUUCUGAGGAAGCUGGUUCAAAGAAGGAAAGAAAUGAGGAAUAUUCCAUAAACCGUCUCCCGAGAGAGCUCAUCGAGCGGAUAUUUUUUCGGCUUCCGGUGAGCACUUUAUUGGUGUGUAUUGGUGUUUGUACGUGCUGGAAAAACUUGAUCCGGGAUCCCAAUUUUGUCACAUCACACCUGAAGCAUGCAUCCCAUUAUUCCCUCAUAUUCUUCCAACAAGAUUAUGUUGCAGGAAAACAUUACCCGAGUGAUGCUAUUCUAAUUGAUAAAGCUUGGUCACAAUCAACAUAUGCAGUGCCAACCAUUGACCCUGAUGAUUUACUCUGUGGUUCAUGUAAUGGGAUUAUUUGCUUAUAG
rnacentral:rRNA from 1 species